CUGAUGGACGCGUUCGGGUCAAUUGCGGAUUGCAACACCCGAUCUCCCUCCCCGUUCCCGAUGGCUGGGAACUGGCCGAGGGGGAGCGCGUCUCCGUCAG
rnacentral:ncRNA from 1 species